GACGAACGCUGGCGGCGUGCUUAACACAUGCAAGUCGAACGGAAAGGCCCUGCUUUUGUGGGGUGCUCGAGUGGCGAACGGGUGAGUAACACGUGAGUAAUCUGCCCUUGACUUUGGGAUAACUUCAGGAAACUGGGGCUAAUACCGGAUAGGAGCUCGUGCUGCAUGGUGGGGGUUGGAAAGUUUCGGCGGUUGGGGAUGGACUCGCGGCUUAUCAGUUUGUUGGUGGGGUAGUGGCUUACAAAGGCUUUGACGGGUAGCCGGCCUGAGAGGGUGACCGGCCACAUUGGGACUGGGAUACGGCCCGAACUCCUACGGGAGGCAGCAGUGGGAAAUAUUGCACAAUGGGCGGAAGCCGAAGGCAGCAACGCCGCGUGCGGGAUGACGGCCUUCGGGUUGUAACCCGCUUUCGCCUGUGACGAAGCGUGAGUGACGGUAAUGGGUAAAGAAGCACCGGCUAACUACGUG
rnacentral:rRNA from 1 species